AUUGAGACAUGAAGACGCUAUAAAGCGCUGCUCACAUGGACACAGCAACAAGACUUCAACAGAGGACAUCAGGCAGCCAUCUACAAUCUAGAGGACAUCAGGCAGCCUUCUACAAUCUAGAGGACAUCAGGCAGCCUUCUACAAUCUCUAUGUGUGUAGCUAUGAUGGGAGUGGUCCUUCUGUUUCUGCUGGCUCUCUGGCCUGGAGGCAAGGUGGAUGCUAUCGAUGAACAGGUCUUGGCUAAUGUGGUACAA